rnacentral:rRNA from 1 species
CUACGUGCCAGCAGCCGCGGUAAUACGGAAGGUCCAGGCGUUAUCCGGAUUUAUUGGGUUUAAAGGGAGCGUAGGCUGGAGAUUAAGUGUGUUGUGAAAUGUAGACGCUCAACGUCUGAAUUGCAGCGCAUACUGGUUUCCUUGAGUACGCACAACGUUGGCGGAAUUCGUCGUGUAGCGGUGAAAUGCUUAGAUAUGACGAAGAACUCCGAUUGCGAAGGCAGCUGACGGGAGCGCAACUGACGCUUAAGCUCGAAGGUGCGGGUAUCAAACAGGAUUAGAUACCCUGGUAGUCCGCACAGUAAACGAUGGAUGCCCGCUGUUGGUACCUGGUAUCAGCGGCUAAGCGAAAGCAUUAAGCAUCCCACCCGGGGAGUACGCCGGCAACGGUGAAACUCAAAGGAAUUGACGGGGGCCCGCACAAGCGGAGGAACAUGUGGUUUAAUUCGACGCAACGCGAGGAACCUUACCAGCGUUUGACAUC